AUGCUAACAGAUCGUGAGAACCAGUCAAUCCUGAUCACCGGAGAAUCUGGUGCAGGGAAGACUGUGAACACAAAGCGUGUCAUCCAGUACUUUGCAACAAUUGCAGCAAGUGGGGAGAAGAAAAAGGAGGAGCAGUCUGGCAAAAUGCAGGGAACGCUUGAGGAUCAAAUCAUCAGCGCCAACCCACUGCUGGAGGCCUUUGGAAAUGCCAAGACUGUGAGGAACGACAACUCCUCACGCUUUGGCAAAUUCAUUCGAAUCCACUUUGGUGCCACAGGCAAACUGGCUUCUGCUGACAUUGAAACAUAUCUGCUGGAGAAGUCCAGAGUCACUUUCCAGCUCAAGGCAGAAAGAAGCUACCACAUAUUUUAUCAAAUCAUGUCCAACAAGAAGCCAGAGCUAAUUGACAUGCUCCUCAUUACCACCAACCCAUAUGACUACCAAUUUGUGAGUCAAGGUGAGAUCACAGUUGCCAGUAUUAAUGACCAGGAGGAGCUGGUGGCUACGGAUAGUGCCAUUGACAUCCUGGGCUUCACUGCUGAUGAGAAAACAGCCAUUUACAAGCUGACGGGGGCUGUCAUGCACUAUGGGAACCUGAAGUUUAAGCAGAAGCAGCGUGAGGAGCAGGCAGAGCCCGAUGGCACAGAAGUUGCUGACAAGGCUGCCUAUUUGAUGGGUCUGAACUCAGCAGACCUGCUCAAGGCCCUCUGCUACCCUCGAGUCAAGGUUGGGAAUGAGUAUGUGACCAAGGGUCAAACUGUGCAGCAGGUGAACAAUUCAGUGGGUGCUCUGGCAAAGGCUGUCUAUGAGAAGAUGUUCUUGUGGAUGGUUGUUCGCAUCAACCAACAGCUGGAUACCAAGCAACCCAGACAGUACUUCAUUGGUGUCCUUGACAUUGCUGGCUUCGAGAUCUUUGAUUUCAACAGCCUGGAGCAGCUGUGCAUCAACUUCACCAAUGAGAAACUGCAACAGUUCUUCAACCACCACAUGUUCGUGCUGGAGCAAGAGGAGUACAAGAAGGAAGGAAUUGAAUGGGAGUUCAUUGAUUUUGGGAUGGACCUGGCUGCCUGCAUUGAGCUCAUUGAAAAACCCAUGGGCAUCUUCUCCAUCCUGGAAGAGGAGUGCAUGUUCCCCAAGGCAACUGACACCUCUUUCAAGAACAAGCUCUAUGACCAGCAUCUGGGCAAGUCCAGCAACUUCCAGAAGCCCAAACCUACUAAAGGGAAGGCUGAGGCCCACUUCUCCCUGGUGCGCUAUGCUGGCACAGUGGACUACAACAUCUCUGGCUGGCUUGAAAAGAACAAGGAUCCCCUAAAUGAAACUGUCAUUGGGCUGUAUCAGAAAUCAUCUGUGAAGACACUGGCCUUACUGUUUGCCUCUGCUGGUGGAGAGGCAGAGGCUAGUGGUGGUGGUGGCAAGAAAGGUGGCAAGAAGAAGGGUUCUUCAUUCCAGACUGUCUCAGCUCUUUUCCGGGAGAACCUAAACAAGCUCAUGACCAAUCUACGGAGCACUCACCCCCAUUUUGUCCGUUGCAUCAUCCCAAAUGAAACAAAAACACCUGGUGCCAUGGAGCAUGAACUGGUACUUCACCAGCUGCGGUGUAAUGGUGUGCUGGAAGGCAUCAGAAUUUGCAGGAAAGGUUUCCCCAGCAGAGUUCUCUAUGCUGACUUCAAACAGAGGUAAAAGCUAUGA